UGUACAGGUUAGACAGUAGCGGCGACAGAACACAACCCUGUCUUACUCCUCUCUUUAUAUAAAUAUUCUCGAAUUCUUGUUCUUCUAUCUUCAUAUUGGCCUUUUGAUUCCAAUACAGAUUGAUGAUAAUUCGCAAAUCUCGUAAAAAAGCAGCUCUCAUUUAAUUUAACGAAGAACCAUGUGUAUGAAACCCAUCAGCAGAAUGUAGCAGGCUCUGGUUGCCAAUAAUAAAGAAGUCAGCAACAAGAAUAUACCAACAUUAACGGAUUAGUAGAAAGUUGGGGUCACUUCUUCUUUUGGCAUGAUAAGCCUAGAUGGGUCUUUGCCUGUCUGGCUAUGUUCCAUUCAGAUCUUUCUUGUGCCCUUCUCCAUUGCCUGUUCAUGAUUUCAGGUCGGCUUCCACGUCAUCCAACCAUCUCUACCUGGGCCUUCCUUUUUUCGCCUUCCCAUCGGAAGGCCUUUCACUUUUCACAAAUCUUACAAUAUCACAGGGAGCGUUCAAGUAUUACGUAACGCGAAUUUUGAAGAUUUUUGACCCCCCCCCUACGUAACGCACUGUAAUGGGCGUUUAACUAUUGCGUAAGGCAAUUUUUGAAGAUUUUUGACCCCCCGCCCCCCAACCUGCGUUACGUAAUACUUAAAACGGCCCCAUACCCUUCAUUCAGUUCAUUAACCUAGUCGUUCCUCUUGAUUCUCCAUGUGCCGUAUUCCUCUUGUACCGGGCCAUAUACGUCUCAGUAUCCUUUUCUCGAAUGUCUUUUGGGCUUCAUCUUUUUUCGUCAUUAUUUAGGUUUCACAACCAUAGGUUACUAAGGACCUAAUCAAAACCAAUGUUCUGUAGAUAGUUCUUGUUUUGGUUCUUUUGUCUAAUAAUUUCGAUGUCAUCAAUCUUCUAGUAGUAUAGUAUGCACUGGAAAUACAUGCAUUAAUUUCUUUACUUACGGAGUUCUUCUCAUUGAUUUCUCUGCCCAGAUAUGUGAAAGCAUUCCCACGUUCAAUAGUAUAGAUGUUUAUCGCGAUAUUAUUUUUAUUGUAAGGUGUUCUUGUGUCAUAUACUUCGUUUUUGUUUCGCUUAUUUUAAGUCCUCUAAAAAACCGAGAACACGUCAUAUAAUCUACAAUUAUUUAUAAUAAAUAUAGAACACACGGUAUAUAAACAUAUAAUACAUAAACACGUAAUACACAAACACACAAAAUAAUAAGAAUCUGCUAUUCUGAAGCCACAAACAACACCCUCAGAUUGUUCCAAUUAAAAGUACGGCUAUUGUCUACAAGAUCCAGGCCAAGUAAGUCAGCCGUCAAGUUUGAAAAAACAUAACCCUAAACAACUUUCGGUUAUAAGAAAAUCACACUAUUAUUUGAAAUAAUCGGUUUUUUAAUACGAUUUUCGGGGUGGAAAUCGAAACGUCAAACAGCAGUUAAAAAUGUAAUUUUCAGUGGCUUAAUCCCAGAUAAACAUAAUCUUUUUUAACAUAAAUAAAUGAUUUGACGUACUUUCUCCUAAUAUUUUAUUUUAAUGACAAAAUAUCUUGUUUAAAUACUCGUUUCUAAGUUUAAUUAAAAUAUUUUUUAAUCAUGUCUACUUUUCAGUUAAUUGUAAACCGAGAAUCUCUUAUUUUUUGAUAAAGAAUAGAUCCUCGGUAACUAUUGUUUGUAAAAUUAAAGAUGUUAAAUUUAAUUAACAUUGGUAAGAAAAAAUAAAGACAAGUUCCCCCAAAAAAAUAAAAAUACAAAUCGAAAACAUUCAAAAGAUAAGACAUAAAAUAUACUUCAAAUAAAAAAAAAGAUAAAAAGAAAGAUAUAUAGAAAUAUGUUGAUAUCUGUGUAUUUUAUUAUAUUUACAAAGAACAUAGAAGGGGGUACAAAAAAAAAUAUUUUCGAUUAAAAUUCGUAUAAAAAGCUCAAUAGGUAAAAAAGUAAAUAAUAAAGCUCAAUGGGGUUAAAAUAAUGUUGUUCCUGUUCGUUGACACCAGUAAUUCCAUAUCCGAUAGUACGGAAUAAAAAAAAAACGAAAAGUUCCAGAUACGCAAGCAGACAUCAUGAUACUUUGCACUUUAGUUCUACAGGCAAACGCAUCCGUUCACUCAACGAUUUUGGAGAAGUUGGCAUCAACAUUUCACGUGAAUUGACGAAAAUUGAACAAUUUCAAGCGAGUUAUAUUUUGUUAUUUAAAUUAUAUUUUAUUAAAAAA
rnacentral:lncRNA from 1 species